rnacentral:rRNA from 1 species
AGUGAACGCUGGCGGUAGGCCUAACACAUGCAAGUCGAACGGCAGCACAGUAAGAGCUUGCUCUUACGGGUGGCGAGUGGCGGACGGGUGAGGAAUACAUCGGAAUCUACUUUUUCGUGGGGGAUAACGUAGGGAAACUUACGCUAAUACCGCAUACGACCUACGGGUGAAAGCAGGGGAUCUUCGGACCUUGCGUGAUUGAAUGAGCCGAUGUCGGAUUAGCUAGUUGGCGGGGUAAAGGCCCACCAAGGCGACGAUCCGUAGCUGGUCUGAGAGGUUGAUCAGCCACACUGGAACUGAGACACGGUCCAGACUCCUACGGGAGGCAGCAGUGGGGAAUAUUGGACAAUGGGCGCAAGCCUGAUCCAGCCAUACCGCGUGGGUGAAGAAGGCCUUCGGGUUGUAAAGCCCUUUUGUUGGGAAAGAAAAGCAGCAGGUUAAUACCCCGCUGUUCUGACGGUACCCAAAGAAUAAGCACCGGCUAACUUCGUG